UGUCUGAUUAGCCAGUUGGUGAGGUAAAGGCUUACCAAGGCUUCGAUCAGUAGCUGGUCUGAGAGGACGACCAGCCACACUGGGACUGAGACACGGCCCAGACUCCUACGGGAGGCAGCAGUGGGGAAUUUUGGACAAUGGGGGCAACCCUGAUCCAGCCAUGCCGCGUGAGUGAAGAAGGCCUUCGGGUUGUAAAGCUCUUUCAGCCGGAACGAAACGGUCACGGUUAAUAACUGUGAUCACUGACGGUACCGGAAGAAGAAGCACCGGCUAACUACGUGCCAGCAGCCGCGGUAAUACGUAGGGUGCGAGCGUUAAUCGGAAUUACUGGGCGUAAAGCGUGCGCAGGCGGUUUUGUAAGUCAGAUGUGAAAUCCCCGGGCUUAACCUGGGAACUGCGUUUGA
rnacentral:rRNA from 1 species